GGGUGUCACCUGUACUCCAGUGGACACCAGUGUGUGUGUGUGUGUGUGUGUGUGUGUGUGUGUGUGUGUGUGUGUGUGUGUGUAUUCUUGUACACCCACAGGUAUGCAAAUACACAAGACAGGCUGGAAAGGGGCAUCAUAGUCCCUGGAGCUAGGGUUGCAGGCAGUUGUGAACUACCCAGCAUGGUUUCUAGAAACUGAAUUCAGGUCCCUGAAGGAGCACCAAACACUCUUACCCACCGAGCCAUCUCUCCAGCCCAGGAAAUUUCCUCUUAGUGCAAUGUGUCCUCUGAAUUCCUUAACAAAUAUGCCAACCGUAGAGAUUCCUGGAAACUACAUGAAUCUUGCAAUCCAGACCUGCCAAUGAUGUCCACGAAGCUGCAUCUGCAUGAGAACCUCACACAGACAGAGACUCUACCUGAGUUCCUCCUAGCAGGCUUUGGUGAAACCACCUCCAGGGGCUGCCAAGCUUUGUCUCAAAAGGUACCAUUAUGAGGAACUUGGUUGCUAACACCUAGUACCGGAUGCACUACCAAUUUUCCACCUUCAGCCCUUUCUAAACCUCCUCAGUUGUCCACAUGUGCUUGAAAGCAACAUACAACACUGAAGAAACAAAAGCGCAAUUAUAAUGGUACCUUCAUCAUUAGAUUGACAGAGUUAAAAGAAAAGACCCCAUGUGAGAAGGCUUAUGGCCAGGACCUGGUACAUGCAUUUUAAAAACAUGAAUGAAUCAAUUUAUUGCAGUCCUGGGAAUUGAACCUAGGGCUUUUGUGCAUGCCAGGCAAGAAUUCUUCCACUAAGCCACAGCCACAGCUACAACAUGCUUUUAAUAAGCAUCAGUUAUUAUGCUGGUGUUUUUUCAUCCUUAAAGACAUUUUUUUUCCAAUUAAAUGUAUUCUCC
rnacentral:lncRNA from 1 species